GACGUAGGUGGCGAACGUUAUCCGGAAUCAUUGGGCGUAAAGGGUGCGCAGAUGGCAUAAUAAGUUAUUGGUGGGAAAUCGAGGCUCAACCUCGUGGAAGCUGGUGAUACUGUUGUGCUUGAGUGCAGGAGAGGUUAACGGAACUCCAUGUGGAGCGGUAAAAUGCGUAGAUAUAUGGAUGAACAUCAAUAACGGCGAAGGCAGUUAACUAUUCUGUUACUGACAUUGAGGCACGAAAGCGUGGGGAGCAAAACGG
rnacentral:rRNA from 1 species